UCUCUUGAGAAUUUAUCUUUCGCAAAGAAACCCUCGUCUCUCACCCCUCCUCUCUCCCUCCCUUCCCCCGCCUUCUCCCUCGCGCUCGCCCGCCGGCGAGCAGCCCCGGCGGCGCGCGCGGUGUGUACGGCCUCCUCUCGCUCGCGCCCCCAUCCUCCUCCCCCUGCCCCGCGCGCUCGGCCGGCGAGCAGGUCCCGGCCUCCUUCCAUCUCGGCUCGAAUCGAAUCGAAUCCAAGGUUUUCAACCGCUGUGACAGACGAUGGAGGAUGAUGAGAGGGGGGAUGGCGAUGAGCUGAUUGCCGACUAUGUCGACUGCCUCAUGUCCCUGGACACCAACUCCCGCUCUUGCCAGAAUGACGCCCUGAUUCUUGAAGGAGCUCCAGAUGAUGUAGACGACGACGCCGCUGCGGCGGCGGCCGCGGCGGCGGAGCAGGAUGUGAUGAGAGAUUUUGCUCCUGGUGAUGGUGAUGGUGAUGCUGAUGCUGAGAAUGAUCCCAAGGAGCCGGUGCUCGGCAUGACGUUCGAGUCCGACGAGGCGGCAAAGAUGUUCUACAAUGAGUACGCCAGGUGGCUCGGGUUCCCCUUCCGCGUCGGCCGGUCCCGGCGAUCGAAGGGCAUGGAGGAGGUUGUAAUCAUGAAGAGGUUCGUUUGCUCGAGGGAAGGGGCGCACAAGAAGAAGCAGCCAUCGACGUCCGGCGAGGCUACCAGUAAGCGUGAGAGGGCAUCGAUGCGGGAAGGUUGCAAUGCCAUGAUGGAGGUGGUCAGGGACAAGGACCAUUGGGUUGUCUCCAAGCUUGAGAAGGCUCACAACCAUAGCCUUGGCAUCGGCACCAGAUACGGGUAUCUUCGUGCCAGAGGAUUGCCUGAUGUGUCCAACAAGAUCGCUGCGAUGGGCUCUGACGGGACCGCCUCUCUUAGGCAGAAUUUCCUUGGGGAGACCGGUGACGGCCAGGGUCUUCUUGAUUAUCUGAAGAAGAAGCAAGCCAAUGACCCCAGGUGUUCCCAUGCCAUACAGGUCGACAAGAAUGGUUGUCUGAUGAAUGUUUUUUGGGCUGAUUCUAGAGCUAAAGAAGCCUAUCGGCAUUUUGGGGAUGCUGUCACAUUUGACACGUCAUAUAAGAAGACCAAGUAUAUGAUGCCCUUUGUUACCUUCUCAGGUGUCAACCAUCAUCUUCAGACAGUAAUUUUUGGUUGUGCGUUUCUUAUGGAAGAAACUGAAUCCUCAUUUUCUUGGCUGUUUGAAACUUGGUUAGCAGCAAUGGGUGGGAAGGCACCAGGCUCGUUAGUCACUGACCAAAAUAGGGCUAUGAAGGCUGCAAUUGGAAAGGUUUUUCCAGAUACCUGUCACCGCUUCUGCAAGUGGUAUAUUUUGAGUAGAACCAAACAAAAAUUAUGUCAUGCAUACUCUGAGCAUCCGGACCUGAGGGAUGAGAUAGAAAGCUGUGUGAUUGAAUCUGAAACUAUCUCUACUUUUGAAACAUCAUGGAUGUCAAUCCUCGAGAAAUAUGACUUGAGAAAACAUGCAUGGCUUCAAGCAAUUUACAAUAUACGCCAAAAGUGGGUUCCUUUGUACAUGAUGGGUACAUUCUUUGCAGAAAUAUCACCCACACAAAAAUUGGAGACCAUGAAUGACUUUUAUAAGAAAUACUUCAAUACAAAGACAACGCUGGAGGUUUUCCUUAAUCAAUUUGAUUCGACCAUGACAAGUCGAUAUGAAAAUGAAGCACAAGCAGAUAUAGACACUCGGUUAAAUGAGGCAACUACAAGGACUGCAUCGCCAAUAGAGAAACAGGCAGCAAGCACUUACACAAAAGCAGUCUUCAGUAGGUUUCAAGAAGAAUUCACAGAAUCCUUGGGUUAUAUCAUUCAGAAAACUGAAGAAGGCAGAGUAAACAAAUUCAGCAUCACAAAAGAUGAAGAUGAUCCAUCAGACACAUUCUGUGUGACUUAUAAUGCUUCCAGUAAGAUGGCAAAGUGUAGUUGCAAGUACUUUAAGUUCUCAGGUAUUUUAUGCCGUCAUAUUCUUGGAGUAUUCAUAAUAGUUGAUCCACGCACACUUCCACCUGAUUACUUUUUGAAACGUUGGACGAGGAAUGCCAGACAUGAUGAAUUGUUGGAAGACAACAGCAAUAACCACAAAGAUGCUACUUGUCAAUCCAUUACAAGCCGUUACAAUGUCCUGUGUGCUGAUGCCAUCAGAUGUGCUGACAAAGGAUCUGCAUCAAAGGCUGUGUAUAAAGCAGCAAAAGACAUCUUACAGAAGGCAUAUGAAGAAAUCAUUGCCUAUGAAAGAAAUCCUGGCAGAGGAUUACAAAGGGAUGCUAUAAACAUCAAUGAGGAUAUCACAAUAGAUGAUACCAUGAAUGAUCAAUCUUUGCCAGAUUUCUGGACAAAAGGAACCUAAAAUCUUCUAGGCCAGCUUCUUGGCAACUCUCGAUCUCCAAUCUGAAUGUAUAUAUUUUUGUCUUCUCUUGGAGAUGCGAUGCAAAUUACCACCAUUGCAUGGUGUCAUGCUUGACAUGCAAUUUCCAUGUUGAAUUGACCAGUGGAGAACAGCAUAUGGACCAAGAUGAAAAGAGUUUCCACCGAUGGAUUCGGAUCAACAGCAACAAUAUGGGUUGAGACUUGGAAGCUCCCUUUUGAAAUGUGCAUCAAAUCCACCCUGCUUGCCAACUUUAAUCCUUGAGAUCACUGCGCCUAUGAGAUUCAUUUGGGCAUUUGGCCAUUAUGGCUAGUUGAUAGUUGUUCGUCAGACAUCAGCCGUUGUUGCAUCAACAUCUCAGAUGUUCAGAACGCACUCAAGUAUCAGGAGUACUGACGCAAUCAAACAAUACUUCCAAAGAUUUGGAUUAAGACUAGCCUAAAUGAUGCUUGAACUGAAAUUAGUACUGAGUGUUCAUGGAGAUGGAGGCGAGGGUUGUGAUUCUUUGAUGAUAGGAUUAGGCUGUUAGGGUAGGAAGCUGUGCAACCAUUGAUUACUUCUUUCUUUUUCUUUUUGUCCAAAGAUGAGUUAGUAGAAGGAAGCAAAACCAGUGUAGCCUAUGUCAAUGUUGUUAAUGAAUUGUAAAUUGAGGUGAAAUGGUUGAGAUCUGUAUCGUUAACCUUGUAAAAGGUGUCCUGUUUCAUCAUAGUUUAUCUGGGUAUUUACCAGUUCACGUAACCUUGUAAAAGGUGUCCUGUUUCA